rnacentral:rRNA from 1 species
AUGAAAUAUGUAUUGGAUCUUCUCAGUGAGACUGGUAUGCUUGAGCAUCGAGCUGCUUCAACCCUAUUGAGUAAAACCACCAGCUGUGUGCUCACUCAGGAGAUCCGGUUGAUAGAGGGAGCUACCGGCGGCUUGUUGGUCGACUCAUCUAUUUGUUCCACACGAUACCUGACAUAUCUUAUGUUGUGUGUGGUGAGAUGCUACAUGCAUGACCGAAGAAGUGGGCAUUUAGAGGCAACACAUAGAAUUUUGUGCUAUCUAGAAGGGAGUCCUGGAAGAGGUCUAUGGUUCAAGCAAUGGACAUUUGAAUGUAGAGGGAUAUUGUGA